AUAAACUCACUGAGGGGACUAAAAUUCCCUUAGUGUAGUAUAAUAAUAUCACCUGUUUACCAUUACCAGUGUUGCUUCCGUGGAAUAUGGGUGCUCUGUCUGUUCGCAGCUUGGAGUUACCUUCCACGGGUGUCUAAAAAAAUUGUCUUUGCUGAAUUGUCUGAAAAAAAAUUAAUAAAGUUA
rnacentral:misc_RNA from 1 species